UGGGGAAUAUUGGACAAUGGGCGAAAGCCUGAUCCAGCCAUGCCGCGUGUGUGAAGAAGGCCUUUUGGUUGUAAAGCACUUUAAGUGGGGAGGAAAAGCUUAUGGUUAAUACCCAUAAGCCCUGACGUUACCCACAGAAUAAGCACCGGCUAACUCUGUGCCAGCAGCCGCGGUAAUACAGAGGGUGCAAGCGUUAAUCGGAAUUACUGGGCGUAAAGCGCGCGUAGGUGGUUAUUUAAGUCAGAUGUGAAAGCCCCGGGCUUAACCUGGGAACUGCAUCUGAUACUGGAUAACUAGAGUAGGUGAGAGGGGAGUAGAAUUCCAGGUGUAGCGGUGAAAUGCGUAGAGAUCUGGAGGAAUACCGAUGGCGAAGGCAGCUUCCUGGCAUCAUACUGACACUGAGGUGCGAAAGCGUGGGUAGCAAACAGGAUUAGAUACCCUGGUAGUCCACGCCGUAAACGAUGUCUACCAGUCGUUGGGUCUUUUAAAGACUUAGUGACGCAGUUAACGCAAUAAGUAGACCGCCUGGGGAGUACGGCCGCAAGGUUA
rnacentral:rRNA from 1 species